rnacentral:rRNA from 1 species
UGGUAAUGCCGGAUGUUCCACAUGAUCGCAUGUGAUUGUGGGAAAGAUUCUAUCGGCGUGGGAUGGGGUCGCGUCCUAUCAGCUUGUUGGUGAGGUAACGGCUCACCAAGGCUUCGACGGGUAGCCGGCCUGAGAGGGCGACCGGCCACAUUGGGACUGAGAUACGGCCCAGACUCCUACGGGAGGCAGCAGUGGGGAAUAUUGCACAAUGGGCGCAAGCCUGAUGCAGCGACGCCGCGUGAGGGAUGGAGGCCUUCGGGUUGUAAACCUCUUUUGUUUGGGAGCAAGCCUUCGGGUGAGUGUACCUUUCGAAUAAGCGCCGGCUAACUACGUGCCAGCAGCCGCGGUAAUACGUAGGGCGCAAGCGUUAUCCGGAUUUAUUGGGCGUAAAGGGCUCGUAGGCGGCUCGUCGCGUCCGGUGUGAAAGUCCAUCGCUUAACGGUGGAUCUGCGCCGGGUACGGGCGGGCUGGAGUGCGGUAGGGGAGACUGGAAUUCCCGGUGUAACGGUGGAAUGUGUAGAUAUCGAAAAA